ACCCUCCAGUCCCUUACCCAGCUGAUCUAAACAUUGUCUGAGUGGCUAUAAAAGGAGGAACAGUAAAACUGAAAUGAGCUUGGAUUCUCUUGUGACAUACAAUUUGGUUUAGAAAAAAAAGAU
rnacentral:snoRNA from 1 species